rnacentral:rRNA from 1 species
UACGAAGGGGGCUAGCGUUGCUCGGAAUCACUGGGCGUAAAGGGUGCGUAGGCGGGUUUUUAAGUCAGAGGGGAAAUCCUGGAGCUCAACUCCAGAACUGCCUUUGAUACUGAAAGUCUUGAGUAUGGGAGAGGUGAGUGGAACUGCGAGUGUAGAGGUGAAAUUCGUAGAUAUUCGCAAGAACACCAGUGGCGAAGGCGGCUCACUGGCCCGAUACUGACGCUGAGGCACGAAAGCGUGGGGAGCAAACAGG